rnacentral:rRNA from 1 species
AGCGAACGUUAGCGGCGCGCUUAACACAUGCAAGUCGCACGAGAAAGGGGGCAACCCCCGGUACAGUGGCGCACGGGUGAGUAACACGUGGAUGAUCUUCCUGGGAGUGGUGGAUAACCUGCCGAAAGGCGGGCUAAGACAGCAUAGGACCACGCUACUACGGUAGUGGGGUGAAAGCGGGCUUCUGUUCACACGCUCGCGCUUCCAGAUGAGUCCGCGGUCCAUCAGCUAGUUGGUGAGGUAAUGGCUCACCAAGGCGACGACGGAUAG